GCUGAGUUCUUCACGCCUAGCCUCUUCCUGGUUCUUUUUUAAGGCUGCCAGCCGAAGGUGUGGCCCAGAUUCAAGGUGGAUCGUCCCACCUCAAGAGAUCUGGAUUAAAGUCCAGGACCACCUGUUUACAAAUGGUACUACCACAGUGAGUUGGGCUUUUCCUCAUCAAUCAGUAAUCAAGAAAAUGCUCCACAGAUUGCUUACAGGACAAGCUGAUAGAGGCAAUUCAUAAACAGAGAUUUUAUCUUCCCUGACAUGUCAGCACAGACUGAUAUCAAGAAUAUAUAAAAGAAACUCAAGAAAGUAAGCAUCAAGCAAAUGAUGGGCCAUAGAACUGAACAGAG
rnacentral:lncRNA from 1 species